UAUACUAAGAUUUCUUGGUCUUACCCUCUGCUCUUACUCAUGGGAGUGACUGACCACAUAUCCAUGGUGGUCAUGAGCAGUUUUCCACUACCGGCAUCUCUUUUCAGCUGUUAACAAAAAGUACGAGGCAUGAAAUCUAGUAUUUGCAAGCAGUUAAAAGGCUUAAAGUUCUUAUGAUUUUAUCACUUGGUGCUCUUCUAAAUUCUCCACGCUCUCUAUAAAGUUAUGAUGAACUCCAUGCUCAGAAUUGCAUCAACCUUCUCAUCCCCUGAGUUUGCCCGAUGUCUGCAUUACGUUGUAGUCUCUCCCUCUGGAGUGCACAGAUCGGAACGAGCAUGAGUUAAUCUGCGGCAUCCUCCAGCUAGGAGUUUGGAGAAACUUAACAUGGAACAGAAUGCCAAGUACAAGAAAACGUUGGGAAGCGAUAAUGAGCUUUCAAAACUGGCAGCAAUUCCUCUUGGGUUUCCUCUUCAAGUACAAUACCAGUGCAGCUUGUGUUGCUAGCAGAAAAGGGCAGGAAGAGGAUUCUGCGCAAGGUAUGCUCAGGUGAGUCAGGGGGAAGAUAAGCCUGUGCUGUUCCAAACUGAGGAAGCUGUGUUUGAACAGUAGUGCAUUCAAACUGAUCAUCUCUUUAUACUUUUAUACUUGUGACCAGCAAGACAUACCCUGGAGUGGAGGAGA